UAUAUCAAGCCUUAAAAACACACAUGCACCGACACAUGGUCCCGGGUGCCGCUGGCAGCGUUUAACGUGGCUAACGGUCGGAUCCAUGGGGUGCGUGGAGGCCUAAC
rnacentral:sRNA from 1 species